CAUCACGCGCCAUUUGCAAAACACACAUCGACGCCGCGAGGUAUGUGGGCGCGACAUAGAGCGCUGUGUGCCCAUUGCAGAUGUAAUACGGCCUCGGAAAUAUAUUGGAAAAAGGGACAAUGGAGAUGCUGGCGGAGUCGAGGUUAAGAGGUGAGCUUCGGUGAAUGGCGGGGAUGUGUGCAUAUUGUGAGCUGAAUGCGGAAGUCAG